AAUAUUGGGCAAUGGACGAAAGUCUGACCCAGCCAUGCCGCGUGGGGGAUGAAGGUCCUCUGGAUGGUAAACUUCUUUUAUCUGGGAAGAAACCCACGGUUUCCACUGUGGUUGACGGUACCAGCUGACUAAGCACCGGCUAACUCCGUGCCAGCAGCCGCGGUACUACGGUGGGUGCAAGCGUUAUCCGGAUUCACUGGGUUUUAAGGGUGCGGAGGCGGGGUGCCAAGUCCGUGGUGAAAUCUCUGAGCUUAACUCAGAAACUGCCGUGGAUACUGGUAAUCUUGAAUAUCGGGGAGGUGGGCGGAAUAUGUCAUGUAGCGGUGAAAUGCUUAGAUAUGACAUAGAACACCGAUAGCGAAGGCGGCUUACUACACGAUCAUUGACGCUGAGGCACGAAAGCGUGGGGAGCAAGCAGG
rnacentral:rRNA from 1 species